GUGUUUUUUGAAAAGGAGAGAAGGUUAGCACUCCCCUGGAUGAGGACGGAAUUAAAAAGACACACACAAUGUCUUCACAUGGUUUGACAAUCAUGUGCAUUUUUUUU